UACGUAGGGGCCUAGCGUUGUCCGGAUUUAUUGGGCGUAAAGAGCGUGUAGGCGGCUAGAUAGGUCCGUUGUGAAAACUCGAGCUCAACCUCGAGACGCCGGUGGAAACCAUCUAGCUAGAGUCCGGAAGAGGAGAGUGGAAUUCCUGGUGUAGCGGUGAAAUGCGCAGAUAUCAGGAAGAACACCCGUGGCGAAGGCGGCUCUCUGGGACGGUACUGACGCUGAGACGCGAAAGCGUGGGGAGCGAACAGG
rnacentral:rRNA from 1 species